rnacentral:rRNA from 1 species
GACGAACGCUGGCGGCGUGCCUAACACAUGCAAGUCGAACGGAGACGACCCGCUUUUGUCGGGGGGUCAAAUAGGGGACGGGUGAGUAACGGGUGGGUAACCUACCCGUGGGCUUGGUGGCACUUCGAGGAACAUGAGCGAAUACCAGUUAUGAGCUUCCGCCGCAUGGUGGGGGUUGGGAAUGUUCGGCGGUUGGGGAUGGAAUCGAGUCUGAUCAGCUUGGUGGUGGGGUAGUGGCUUACCAAGGCUUUGACGGGUAGCCGGGCUGAGAGGGUGACCGGCCACAUUGGGACUGAGCUACGGCACAGACUCCUACGGGAGGCAGCAGUGGGGAAUAUUGCACAAUGGGCGGAAGCCUGAUGCAGUACCGCCGCGUGCGGUAUGACGGCCUUCGGGUUGUAAACCGCUUUCGCCUGUGACGAAGCGUGAGUGACGGUAAUGGGUAAAGAAGCACCGGCUAACUACGUG